UACGGGGGGAGCAAGCGUUGUUCGGAUUUACUGGGCGUAAAGGGCGCGUAGGCGGCGCAACAAGUCACUUGUGAAAUCUCCGGGCUUAACCCGGAGCGGCCAAGUGAUACUGUCGUGCUAGAGUGCGGAAGGGGCAACUGGAAUUCUCGGUGUAGCGGUGAAAUGCGUAGAUAUCGAGAGGAACACCUGCGGCGAAGGCGGGUUGCUGGGCCGACACUGACGCUGAUGCGCGAAAGCCAGGGAGCGAAGCGGG
rnacentral:rRNA from 1 species